AUUAAAAAAAAAAAAAAAUUCUAACCCAAAAGUCAAGCCCUAUAUAAACCAGUCAUUCUCUUGUAGCCAAACGGCGCCUUCCCCUAAUCUUUUUAUUGCUUUUGGCUGAGAAGACCGGCAAAAUAUAACCCUAACUACUAGAUAAUGUCUGGGAUGUACGGUGAAGACGGCGAAUCUGCUCCUCCAUCUUACGGUGGAUAUGGCGGCGGUGGUGAUGGCGGCGGAGGUGGAGGAGGAUAUGGAGGAGGGGCUAGUGGUGGCGGCUAUGGGGGUGAUGGUGGUUAUGGCGGUCGUGGCGGCAGAGGUGGUGGUGGCGGCGGCGGCAGAGGAUAUGGUGGUGGCGGCAGAGGAUAUGGUGGUAAUUCACAAAAUCGUGGUGGUGGUGGAGGAGAUCGUGGAGGAAGAGGAGGUGGAGGUGGAGGUGGUGGCAGAGGAGGUGGCCGAGGUGGAGGCGGAAGGGACGGUGAUUGGCUGUGCCCUAAUCCAAGCUGUGGCAAUUUGAACUUUGCAAGGAGAGUUGAGUGUAACAAAUGCGGCACUCCCUCCCCUGCUGGUGCCAACAAUGAUCGUGGAAGUGGUGCUGGAGGAGGUUAUAACAAAGGAGGAAGUGGUGGAGGAUAUGGUGGUAACCGAGGGGGUAGAGGUGUUAACUAUGAUGGUAAUAGAAGCAGCAAUUACAAUGAUGGAGGCAGAGGUGGUAAUUAUGAUAAUAGGAGUGGAGGUGGCAGUAGGGGGGGCAGUUAUGGUGGUAAUCAUGGAAGAGACACUGGUGCUUGUAAUCAGAUGCCUCCUCCUGCACUCCCAUCUUAUGGUAGUGCUAGUGGUAAUUAUCCUCCACCUCCUAACUCAUAUGGUGGCAAUGCAAAUUAUGGAAUGGAAGCAGUUCCUCCUCCUACAAGCUACACUGGUGGACCGACAUCUUACCCACCGUCUUAUGGUGGUCCUGUGAGUGGUUAUGGUGGUGAUGCUCCAGCUGAUGUGAGGACUGGUGGGCGAGGUGGUCAACCUGGUGGGUACGGUACUGGUGGUCCUCGGUAUGAAGGAGGAGGUGGGUACAGCGGUGCUGUCACUGAUGCCCCAGCUAAAAUUAAGCAGUGUGAUGGAAAUUGUGAUGAUACUUGUGACAACUCUAGAAUAUACAUAUCAAAUUUGCCCCCUGAUGUGACUAUUGAUGAAUUGAGAGAACUCUUUGGCGGCAUUGGACAAGUAAUUUUAACUCUUUUCUUUUGAAUUUAAAUGCACAUGGACUUUUUUUUUAAUGGCUCCAUAAUUGGGGGCUGUGAAAAUUCUUUGCUUUUUUGAGAAAUUUUUCACCUGUUAAUCUUCAUUACUUCAUAUUACUAAAUUAUUUGUCUUCAGCAUGGAAGGAUAAAAUUUGUGAAAAUGAUAUCUGUAGAUCUUCUGUUAGCUUCUGUGGCAUUCAUCUAUUAGAUGUUCAUUGGAUUUAACCAACUUAAUUGCAAACUGGCAGUCUUUGGUAACUGGGAUCAGUUCCAACUUUCUAAGAUUGUGUAAGUGUAAUUUUAUUAUUGAAAUUGGAACUCCGCAAUUAUUACUUAGGUUGGAAGGAUUAAGCAGAAGCGGGGCUAUAAAGAUCAGUGGCCCUGGAAUAUAAAACUAUACACAGAUGAGAAGGGAAACAACAAAGGCGAUGCAGUUUUGUCUUAUGAAGAUCCAUCUGCUGCUCAUUCUGCUGGCGGUUUUUAUAACAGUAUUGACCUUGUAACUUUUUCUUUCACAUUUUCUGUUUGGCACCUGAUCCUUGCCCACAAAUUGCCCUCCUUGGCACCAUACUAUUCUGUGUCUAAAUUUAGUGUUACAUGCUCAUGUCUUAUUUCAUCUUACAGAUUAUGAUAUGAGGGGUUAUAAAAUCAGUGUUGCAAUGGCGGAAAAGACAGCACUAAGGCAACCUUCAUAUGACCAUGGAGGUGGUGGUAGAGGUGGCUAUGGUGGAGGUGAUCGGCGCCGGGAUAGUUAUAGAGAUGGGGGCUCUGGCCCAGAUAGGCACUACCAUGGUGGAAACCGUUCACGUCCAUACUGAGAAUUUCAGCAUUGAGCUUUUUAUGUACUAAGAAUUGUGAUCUGAGGGAUUUAUUAUAUUCCAUUUCCUUGGGGGGGUUAAACUGGAGACUAAGAGGUAGGUGUUCACUUACACUGAGCAAUACCCCUUUUUCUCCUUUUUCUGUUUACUCAUGGAGGGGUUUCUGUUUUAGGCAUGGGAUAGAUUUUAAUUGUGUGAAUGUUUUUAUAGAGACAAGUGGAUUAACUCCAAAUUUCUUGCUGCUAAGGUAGGUUGAUAUUUUCAGGUGAGUGCAGCUCUUUCAAAAUCUCACUUUAUCAUUGUUUGGAAUGCAGGGUGGUGAAUUAUGUUACUUGUCUUUUGCAUGCCUCAAAUAAAUGUGGCAUUGAAACUUGUAUUUUUCGCAUGCAUAUCUUUGGUAGCUAAAUAGGCAAGCAAGCUUUCUACCAAAAAAAAUGCCUGUUUGGGCUAUUUUUAGCUUAACUCAUUUAUUGGUUGGAACGUACCAAUGUAAAAGCAUUCUGUUUCUAAGAGAUUUUGUCCUAGUUCAAGUUUGUUGAAAUUUUUUACCAUGCUAGAUACUGUAGGACAUAGAAGUGAUUUGGAUAUUGGUGUGAGAGCAUUACAAAUUCUUAGGAAAUGUGCUGCUCCCCCUUCCCUCCUUGUUUUCUUUUUACCUUUUUCUUUUUCACCUUUUUCUUUUUCUUCUCUCUCUAGACAUACAUCAGUUACAUCGUGACCUUUCUUUAUUAUAAUCAUACUUUGUGGUUUUAAUUACCAUUUAAUGCAUAUAACAUAAAAGAACAUAUAUUAGUGCUAUUGAAUUAGUGUGAGUGGGUGCUUUCUGGAUUCUGCAAAGACUUUGUGCUUUGCAUGGGGGUGUUGGAAUACUUUUCGCGGGUGCUUUAUGCAGAAUCACCGACGCAAUGUCUAACCUUGAAAUUUUGUGUAGUUGCGAUAAGAUAUAUUAGGAAUUCUGGGCAAGGUUAUUGUAAUCCUUGCCAUUGUUAUUAAAGGAUGUGUGAUAUUGGAGCCAAUAAUUUGAUAGAGAACAGGACAAACUUGAAUCUGGUGCUAAGAAGUGUGCUUUUCUUCAUCUGGAGCUUCAAACUUUCUAACCACUAUUAACCUGUGUGAGGCAAUCCAGUUCUGCAUGUGGCGAGUCACGGGGUUUGUGCUUGCUGUUAUUUUGUCACUGUUAAAAGCCUUUGCUGUCCCGCUGAGACUAGAUUGUCACCGAAACAAGAUUCAGUGAUUCUAAUUCAUCUUUUGCAAUCUAUACACAUCGGCAUAAAACUUAAUAAAUAUUCUUACUGGGUCUUAGAGGAGUUUGUGUUAUAUUAUAUUGAUGUUAUGGAGAUUAGAAAUAAAAAAGUUUCGUGGAUACAAUUUUGCUAAUGUAAUUUUUGUUAUUUUAUGAACUAUAGACAAGUGUUUUAAUCUCUGACACACAUCCAUGCAUUUUUGGUUUCACUGAUCUGUCAUGCUAAAAUUGCUAUGAAAUUAAGUAAAAUUUUUUUCCCUUUUAUUAUAUCUUUCCUCGAGCUUGUGUUGAGUGACGAGAUUAUUGUAGAAAGUGUGAAGCACGUCUAAUGACAGUGAAAUCUUUUAGCAUUUUAUUUUUUAAAUAAUUGUAUUUCUAAUUUUUAAUUUUAACUUAAUUUUAUUUGGGAAAGGUUGGUGCAGUAUUAAUUCUAUUUUUCAAUUGAUUUGGAAAAAUCUAAUUUCACCACUGUUAUCAGUAUAUUUUAAGUUUAGAAAUCAAUAAUUCAGGCUCUGAUUGAUGCAAUGAUUUGGUAUGUGUUUUAAAUUUUCGAAAAAAAAAGUUUAUGUUUUCGUAAUAAUAAAGAUUCCUCCGUUCAAAGGAAUCGGUUGUCAAACAAUUUUCUAAUGGUGUGUGGGGAGGGAAGAUUUUGUAAUGAUUAAAGUGCCUCUCUUUCUCUCUUUCUCUCUCUUACACGUUUUCUUGUUUAGUACUGCUCUUUCGUUCAAAAAGAUUUGGUCUUGUUCUUGAUCCUUGUUGUCACAGUCGCCAUUUUUUCCCCUAAAAGAUGCUGCAUGUUUGCAGCCAUGGCUCCAUGAACUGGGCUUCUAUUGAAAUGCUUUUCUCGUUUUUGUUCUACUUCAAUACUAUAAUGCAAAUAUCACUCACUAUCAACGGUUCUUUACUGAGUUUCUUUAUACCAUUGAACUUUUGAGAGAUCUAAGGUUCUUUCUUCUUUUCUUGGUUUCAUCCAAGAACUGGGAAACAAAAAUCUUUACUUUUGCUACAGCAUAUCCAUCUAUUUCAGUUCUUUUAAUUUUUGGGUAUUACAAGAUCAAGAAUAUAUGAAGAUGGAGAAAAUGAAGUCAAAGAUGAAAUGGGUGUUUAGGCCAGCGAAUAAAAGCACUCUUAAUGGCAGAGGCAAUGUUAAUGUUGAGGACUUGGAGAUUAGGCCAGGAGGAUCGCUAGUGCAGAAGAGGAAUUCUGAUUCCAAUCAGAAUUCUGUUCCACUUCCCAGUAUUAAAGUCAGUGUCAAAUGUGGCUCUUUGAAUUACCAAAUCUGUAUUAGUUCUCAAGCAAGCUUUGGGGAAUUGAAGAAGAUGCUAGCAGAACAAACUGGAGUGCACCCACAGGAUCAGAAGCUGAUAUACAAAAAGAAGGAGAGAGAUUCCAAAGCAUAUUUAGACAUUUCAGGAGUGAAAGAUGGAUCAAAAAUUAUGUUAAUUGAGAACAUUACAAGCUGGGAAAGACGGUCCCUUGAGAUGAUUAAAUCUGCCAAGAUAGAGAAGGCUUCAAAGUACUUACAGCAAAUCAGCUUGGAAGUCGACUAACUGCACACGAAGGUGAAAGCCUUGGAAGCAACAGCAUCUAGAGGUGAGAAAGUUGCAGAGUUAGAUUUAGAUAAUUUGACAGGAAUGUUGAUGAAUAUAUUAGUAUCAUUGGAUGGAAUUUCUGCUGAGGGAGACUUGAAGUUUCAAAAGGGAAUGCAGGAAAGGAGAGUUCAAAAGUACAUUGAAACUCUGGAUAUGUUGAAGUUGCGAAACUCCAUAAAUAAUAGAACUGAGGACAAAAUCCCAAAGCAGCAAGAAGAGAACUCGACUGGGAAAAAGCCAAUACCAAUGCAGAAGCUAGUACAGCAGCAAAUAUUGAGGCAUUCUGAGUCAUUUGUGAUCACAACAAAUUGGGAAACUUUUGAUUAAGAAGGGAAGCCACUGCGCAUUUUUCUAUACUGUAGAUGCUUUUCUUUAAUUUUUUUUUUCAAUAUGUACCUUACUAUUGUACAUGUAUAUUAAGUAGUAGUAAAUAAUCUGGGGUUUGUGGAAUUGUAUUGAAGAAUUUGUUGCAGCUGCUAUCACUCUUGAGUCUGUGUAUACUGUGUAUAGCACAUAGUUGCUAGAUUCUCUUAGACCCCUGGGUUCCAUGACCCAGAUCUCACGUUCCAAAACGCGAGACUUUUGUGUCCCAAAUCUCUUGAGAAUGUGUUCUAGUUCUUUAAAUAAAGCGAUUUCAUUUUACUAUGCUCAACACAAAAUCAAAGUGAA
rnacentral:misc_RNA from 1 species